rnacentral:rRNA from 1 species
AACGAACGCUGGCGGCAUGCCUAACACAUGCAAGUCGAACGAGACCUUCGGGUCUAGUGGCGCACGGGUGCGUAACGCGUGGGAACCUGCCCUUAGGUUAGGAAUAACUCCCCGAAAGGGGUGCUAAUACCGGAUAAUGUCUUCGGACCAAAGAUUUAUCGCCUUUGGAUGGGCCCGCGUUGGAUUAGCUAGUUGGUAGGGUAAAAGCAUACCAAGGCGACGAUGCAUAGCUGGUCUGAGAGGAUGACCAGCCACACUGGGACUGAGACACGGCCCAGACUCCUACGGAAGGGAGCAGUGGAGAGUAUUGGACAAGGGGCGAAGGCCUGAUCCAGCAAUGCCGCGGGAGUGAUGAAGGCCUUAGGGUUGUAAAGCUCUUUUAGCCGGAAUGAUAAUGACAGUACCGGGAGAAUAAGCACCGGCUAACUCCGUG